CCUACGGGUGGCUGCAGUGAGGAAUAUUGGUCAAUGGCCGAGAGGCUGAACCAGCCAAGUCGCGUGAGUGAAGACGGCUCUACGGGUUGUAAACCUCUUUUGUCGGGGAGCAAAGAGAGUCGCGUGUGACUCAUUGAGAGUACCGUACGAAUAAGCAUCGGCUAACUCCGUGCCAGCAGCCGCGGUAAUACGGGGGAUGCAAGCGUUAUCCGGAUUUCUUGGGUUGAAAGGGUGCGUAGGCUGUGAGGUAAGUCAGCGGGGAAAUGCCCCCGCUCAACGGGGUGAAGGGCCAUUGAUACUGCCUGGCUGGAGUGCGGAUGCGGUGGGAGGAAUGUGUGGUGUAGCGGUGAAAUGCAUAGAUAUCACACAGAACACCGAUUGCGAAGGCAUCUCACGAAUCCGCGAUUGACGCUGAUGCACGAAAGCGUGGGUAUCAAACAGGAUUAGAUACCCCAGUAGUC
rnacentral:rRNA from 1 species